GCUUCAAGGAAAACCAUUGUGCGUGUACCCCAAAUCUGGGAGUAUAGGGAUCAAGCUACCUGGCAAAAAUUGCUCCAGUUGGACCUUAUUAUUACUAAUGAGAGGGCAAAACAAUGGAAGGCUGCGUGCGAUGCAAUCGAAUAUACAAGUUCAGAGAAUGACUAAAUUAAAGGAAGGUACUGCAGUGUGUUAGUGAUUUUGUACAUAGAGGCCUACAAAGUAUGACUCGGAUUGUUGAUGCAAAUUGCUAUCUCAAAAGAAGAAAUUUUGCAUCUACUAGAAUGAUAUAUUGGCCUCAUAUCAGGACAUUAGAAGCAAGAAAAAA